rnacentral:rRNA from 1 species
CAAGUCGAGCGGAACGAGUUAUCUGAACCUUCGGGGGACGAUAACGGCGUCGAGCGGCGGACGGGUGAGUAAUGCCUAGGAAAUUGCCCUGAUGUGGGGGAUAACCAUUGGAAACGAUGGCUAAUACCGCAUGAUGCCUACGGGCCAAAGAGGGGGACCUUCGGGCCUCUCGCGUCAGGAUAUGCCUAGGUGGGAUUAGCUAGUUGGUGAGGUAAGGGCUCACCAAGGCGACGAUCCCUAGCUGGUCUGAGAGGAUGAUCAGCCACACUGGAACUGAGACACGGUCCAGACUCCUACGGGAGGCAGCAGUGGGGAAUAUUGCACAAUGGGCGCAAGCCUGAUGCAGCCAUGCCGCGUGUGUGAAGAAGGCCUUCGGGUUGUAAAGCACUUUCAGUCGUGAGGAAGGUAGUGUAGUUAAUAGCUGCAUUAUUUGACGUUAGCGACAGAAGAAGCACCGGCUAACUCCGUGCCAGCA